rnacentral:rRNA from 1 species
UAGGGAAUCUUCCACAAUGGGCGCAAGCCUGAUGGAGCAACACCGCGUGAGUGAAGAAGGGUUUCGGCUCGUAAAGCUCUGUUGUUAAAGAAGAACACGUAUGAGAGUAACUGUUCAUACGUUGACGGUAUUUAACCAGAAAGUCACGGCUAACUACGUGCCAGCAG